UCACGAAAUUUCUUAUGAAUUGCCAAUAAACCUGCAUGAUUAUUCAUGUGCGCGGAAAUAAUAACCAAUGAACCCCCAAAAAAAAAAGACGUUGCGAAUUGCUCUCUACCUCCAGCUUUAUUUCAUCUGUUGGUUGUUAAAGCCUGUUUCCAUAUGGUCGUAAUGGUCGUAAAAAUAGAGUCACGAUCUUUCUCAACGGCCAGUUUAUACCUGUAAACCACAUAUAAAUCAUAAGUAUUCUCUAGCUAUAAUCACUCCGCGUAUUUUC